rnacentral:lncRNA from 1 species
ACAAACUGUAAUAGGAUGGUGCAAAUUCUGUAAACCUUGAACGGGGUGCAUAGUACUACCUUACAAAGCCUAUUAACAUCAAGAUGUAAUAAGGCGAGAGAAAACCGAUUGUAACUAUCUUUUCCUUGUUCAAACAUUUGAGAAAGCUUAGAGAAUCCGCUCUGCUGCCUUUUCCUCCAAUGUUCUAUUUUCCUUUUUUACCUGCAAAAAUGAAGCAUGUUCCACAUUUUGUUUGGCAGAACAAACUGGCAAAAUUAGUGUUGUUACCAACAGACUUACAUAUUGCAAGAGGGAUUCUGGAAGUAUUUAGGCUAACUAAAUUCAGGAAAGACCCGGUAUAAGACUCAUUUCAGCCCUCACGGUGCACCUCGAAGCCCUGCAAUCAAAACUGAAACAUCGCUCUGCACUGAAAUCUCUAAACACCAGUUCAUCUAACUAAUCGAGCAAGUAACAGUCCUGCACUGAAACGCCUAAACACCAGUUCAGUUAUCCAUAUUAUACACAUCUCUGCUACUAAAAAAUUAGAAACUGGACCCUCAGCAACACUGUCCAACGCACAGCUGGAUCCUUGAACUAAGUAAGGAAAGAAGCAAAGCACUUUGUUUUUCUAGAUUCCAUAAAAAACACUGAAGGAUGGUGUAGCUAAGCGGAGCAACAAAGAUAAUUUUUUUUAAAACGAUACCCACAAAAUAACUGGGCAUAGGAUAAGAUCUUGCACGAGAAGCUGGUUUGAGAGAGAGAGAGAGAGAGAGAGAGAGAGAGAGAGAGAGAGAAGUCUAUGCCUAACACAACGUUGAGUGAAUAAAUAAAUAUCAGCUACCCAAUUUUAGAGCCAUGUGUGCACUAAUAAAAACACAAGAGGUUUCACCUUAUUCUUUUCUGUGGACUGAACCGACCUUGAGUUUUCUUGAUUGAGCAUAUUUCAUUAACUCUUUUUUAAAAUAUAUUUCAUUAUCAUUAACUCAAAAUCCAAUGCUCUCUUUUCCUUCUUCUAUACCUGCAAAAAUGAAGCAUGUUAUACACUUUGUUUGGUUGAACAAACUGGCAAACUUGGUGUUGUUACCAACAGAUCACAAGAUGGAUUCUGGAAGUAUUCUUGCUUGAACUGCUCUAGUAAAUUGCCUAUUGUCUAGCACUACUAACAACACUAUCAGUCAAUUAAGUUACUUCCUCCCAUUAUAAUUGAACAAAAUAAGGAUAAAUAUGCACAUUGAGUUCUUUUCUCAAACAUACAUUAGGAUCAUCAUCAGUAAGAAGUGCACAACAAGCAUGCCUCAGUUGAUAAAUAAUGAAGCAGUAAUCAGAAUAUAUAAAAUGGGAAUAAAAAUAAAUGGCAGAAAUCAUCCAUCAACAGAGCUAAAACAGGACGGGAGUGACACAAGUAUGUUAGAUUGACAAUAAAAAUAUAGGAAUCCAUAAACCUGGACACUACUGUAUUCAAAGAAAAGAACAAAAAAAAUGUAGAAAUGGUUAAUAUGCUAAUUUUUUCGCCAUAAUAACAAGAAAGGUGUAACAUGAGCAAGGAUUUACAUUAUAAAAGUAUACACCAUACAGCUCUAAAAAUAAUUUUAGCAGACUUUUAGUGUCCAACUAUAAGCGUACUUGUUUUCCUCUACAGAGAAGAAAAUUAGAUAGCAAAGCUUUCGGUGUCCAACUCCUGUUACCAAGUGAAGUAAACUUUUGCCGUCCAGGUUGGUUGUUAAGUUGAUAAUGAAUCCAGUAUAGCUAUAUGACAACAUUAUCACCUCUUAUUUCAAUUGGUACGUGUACCUGAGGUCAGAUGCAUGCCUUUGAUUCCUCCCAUAGUUUUUUGCCCUAUCGAUUAGAAUAGUCGCAGCAUAGCUAAGAACUACACUGUAGGUGCGCAUAAAAAUACAGUAGAAAAGUGGACUUUACUUGCAAUUUUUUAUCCUCGAUCUCUUUAUAAGUUUUCAACAAUGAAAUUCUCUAUUAUUACAGCCCUCAAAAAGCAAAAAUAAGCAAAUUAAUUUUCUGAGCACAAACACACCGAGAUAGGAUAAGCUAAAUGGGGCAUCAUGCCUUAUUUUUCUGAAUACAAACACGUUGACAUAAGAGAAUCUGAAUGAGGCAUCAUACCUAAAUUUUCUGAAUACAAACACACUGACAUAAGAGAAUCUAAAUCACAUGCCUUCAGGAGCCGAGCGAUGGAAACUUUCAGGCAAGGCUUAGAAACAUGCUUGAUUCUAAGAAAAAAAAUGUAGGAGAUGACACCUACUUUUCAAGAGAAAAAAAUGUGAGAUGAUGAUUCACGAUCUCACUCAGUUUGUGCAAGCUAUACAGAAAAAUUUAACAUAAAACUUGUAGUCAAGUAGUCGCAGCUAGAAUAUUAAAUGAGAAGACACUGAUUUUUUUGAUUAUUUGUCACAGUACUGCAGCUAAUCACCCUAGAAGGUCUUUCUGUAGUAGGUUAAACAAAAUUCAGGUUGACGCUGAAACAUCCACAAUAAGAAUCUCACUUUCGGAAUAUGCUUUUGGAUGUAGAGCACAAGACCAGAUUGCCAAUGUUGAAUUUGUCAAUUUCCUAGCUUAUAGCAGAAGGGACGUCAUUAGAUUCACGUAAAACAGCUUCGGCUUCUACCUAUUUGAUCAAACAGAGUAAAUCGUGUCACUAUCCGGAUGAGAUUAUAUGCAACCAGAGAGUUAGGCGAGCAAAUCGCCUAGCCAGAUUUAUGUUAAGUGAUCACACAGUAUCAAUAUAUAGCAGCGCUAUGUAGAAAGUGCAUCUUAAUUAUACAAGGCAGAUUCAGAUACUAAUUAGUAAUGGUGUACUUACAGCAUGGGCAUCUGAAGUACACUCAAUGAAAUCCCAUUUGGUUUUGAUGUUCCUAGUUGGAUCAAAGAGGGCCGUAAGCUUUUGCAGAGAGAUAGGCAGGUAUAUAUAGUACCUCACAUUAAUACAUGAUUUGGUUACAUGCAUGUCAACACACACCCUUUUUCGCAUCAAGUCCCAAUUUUUUUAAACGAAAAUAGGAAAAAAAAUGCAGACCAAGAUUUACUUGGUAUUAGAACAAAUCACACAGACCCUAUCUUUGUUCAAUGAAAACUAAGGAAGAACUCUAUAACUAUCCUACUCUGCAAUGAUCAUUGCAUGAUAUCAAUAUUUCUCCUUUAAAGAAUUAAAUUUCAACAACCACGUAAGCUCUGGUCAUUGUUCUUGAUUAAAAGGGCAAAGGAGAAACAAAUGGAAUAAGUCUCACCGUCACUACUCAGUUUCCACCCAAUUUUUUAUCCGAACAAUAUCCAUUGCAUCUAUGCUUACCUCCCUCCUCCCCUGGAGCUCCAGCCCAUAGCAAU